UCCUCUAACCUCCUUCUAGUAACAGCACCCACAGCAACUCAAGCUGUAAAAUCCAGGCUCCUUUGAAAGACCAUCAGAGUGCACUGAGAAAGGUGGGAUCCCUACCAUCAGAGUGCGCUGAGAAAGGUGGGAUCCCUACCAUCAGAGUGCGCUGAGAAAGGUGGGAUCCCUACCAUCAGAGUGCACUGAGAAAGGUGGGCUCCCUACCAUCAGAGUGCAGUGAGAAAGGUGGGAUCCCUACCAUCAGAGUGC